rnacentral:rRNA from 1 species
UACGGGGGGGGCAAGCGUUGUUCGGAAUUACUGGGCGUAAAGGGCCAGUAGGCGGCCAACUAAGUCGGACGUGAAAUCCCUCGGCUUAACCGGGGAACUGCUUCCGAUACUGGAUGGCUUGAGUGUGGGAGAGGGAUGCGGAAUUCCAGAUGUAGCGGUGAAAUGCGUAGAUAUCUGGAGGAACACCGGUGGCGAAGGCGGCAUCCUGGACCAUUACUGACGCUGAGUGAGCGAAAGCCAGGGGAGCAAACGGG